UUGCUACUCUCGGGGUCGAAUGGCCCGGAUCUGCGAGGCUGUCCGAUUCCGCUCGAUGGAUUGGGUCCUUCGGACUUCCUCGAUCCGUGUCAGGUUCGUCUCGCUGAGCUUGUUCUCACGAGAAUGAAUUUGUGCUGCUUCUGCAAGUGCGAGCAUUACUGGCGGAGGUGUAAGAUCGUGGCCUGCAAUCAGGUGCUCCCCUAUCGCCACUGCCACAACGAGGCCACGGUGAGCUCGUACUCGUCCCCCCCCCCCCCCCCCCCCCCCGGAGACCACUGUUGUGCUGCUAUGGCGUUCAUGCAGAGCAGUAUAGCAGGAAACUUAUCUGCAUAGGCGCCUUGGUUGCUCAAAUCGAGUAGCUGGUGCACUCCCGUCAUCUACUUAUACGUGAGCCAAGCGGAACAUUUAGGCAUGCUUCUUAGUGGCUCGUGAGAACCUGUUGAGUUGCAAUUAAAUUGUUAGUUUCUAUACGCUUAUGUUUAGUCUUAGAUCUCAAUUGUUUUCAUCCCUGUCUAACAGUAAAGCAGGCUACUUGUCUAGACUUCCAAGCGCUAACCGAUUUGCUAGUGCACUACCAUGUACUUCUGUUUCAACCAAGGGGGGGAAUUUAUGCAUAGUUCUCAGUUUUCUGUGACAAUGUGACAAGCUGUAACUGUAUUGGUAUGCUGGUCAGUCUUAUGUCUUGAUUGUCUUCAUUUUUAUUGUCCUGUUGGGUUGAAUCUUAAGCAAGAUAGUUCAUUGUGUAGAAUUCAGUGGAGCUCAUGUCUUGGACCAUAGAAUUUAUAUAACAUGAAAGAUAAGUCAUUGUUGAACACGCUCUAUCCGUCUAUCGAGCUGCUGAGUGCCAGGACCAAGCACUUUAUUACCACUAAUUGUUUUUCUGUAAAGUGUUGGUGGGGGAAUACAUGUUCAGAUAACUAGAGCGUUAUGUUCUUUUAAAAAACUGGAUUGAUGACUUUAUUUGUUUCUGUAUGUAUACCUGUUAGGAAUUCAGAUACACAAUAUGAUUUUGUUCUUAGAUGGAAAUGAUUUUGUUUAUAUAUGAGUGCUCAAAUGUGAGCUUACGUUCCUGAAUUUCUUUUUGAAAUCCUCCAUUGAACACACUCGAGCUAUUGGCAGUGUGUUGUGAAGCCUCAACCACUACUGGCUCUGACUAAACACAGCCUGCAGAGCAACCUUUGUCAAGAUGCUGAUCCUCAGACCAGCUUUCCAGCAAAACUCAUAGACAGCCUUGUAAAGCUGCCUGCUAAUUCAUUCUAGCCCUAUUGUCAUCAAUCUGUCUUCAGCUCCCAUUCAUUUUGUUUUGGCUCCUGCAUUAGAUGUAUUCUGCAAACUGCUCUCUUCUUGGGAUUAAUUUUUAUAUAGAUUAAUAGUUUAAGAUUUGCAGUAAAGGCUGGAUCAGAUUGAUAACUCCAUUAUUUGCUAAAUAAACUAGCCUUUGCUACAAGAUCACAUUGGAGUAGAUUGGUGACAACAAACAAGCUUGACAUUCGUUUGACUUCUGCCUGCAGCUACAGGGUCACAUUGGAGUAGAUUGGUGAGAAAAAAAAUGCUUGACAUUCGUUUGCAUUAUGCAAGACAUCUAAAUAAGCAGUUGGAUCAUGGUCAUUGGAGAAGAUUGGUGAGAACAAACAAGCUUGACAUUCAUUUGCAUUAUGGAAGACAUUUAAAUAAGCAGUCACAUCAUGAUCAUUGGAGCAGAUUGGUGAGAACAAACAAGCUUAGCGUUCGUUUGCAUUAUGGAAGACAUCCAAGUAAGCAGUCAGAUCAUGGUGAAGUCUGAAGUAUGUUGUGGGAAGUGUAGAAAUUCUUGUUAGCGUCAUGGCUCAUGUCUUUCUGAAAUCCAUUUAAUGUCUGUAGUGUGAUCCUUCCUAACCCUUCUUAUGGCCUGAUUGGAUUCCAAAAAAAAAAAAUCUUACGCUCAUGCCUGAUGCAAGUGAAGGUCAGCAUAGGCAUAUAGUUCCGUCACUAGUAUACCAAUCAAUCAGAUUCUUGGUUCAAGACAUGGCAUACACAGGACGCCUUACUUCCUUUAAAACACUGCUUUCAUGUGUACUGUGCUUAGUUACCUCUUUAGUUAGUUGUUGGGUUUGUAGUUUUCCCUGUAAGUCCAAAUCGUAAAAUUUGGCGCCAUGAAGCAAAUGUAUUAGUGCUCCUUAUUCAACCAA